CCUACGGUGGGCUACAGUGGGGAAUAUUGGGCAAUGGGCGCAAGCCUGACCCAGCAACGCCGCGUGAAGGAAGAAGGCUUUCGGGUUGUACACUUCUUUUGACAGGGAAGAGUAGAAGACGGUACCUGUCGAAUAAGCCACGGCUAACUACGUGCCAGCAGCCGCGGUAAUACGUAGGUGGCAAGCGUUGUCCGGAUUUAUUGGGUUUAAAGGGUGCGUAGGCGGAUUUUUAAGUCAGCGGUAAAAUGUCCGGGCUCAACCCGGGCCGGCCGUUGAAACUGGGGAUCUUGAGUGGGCGAGAAGUAUGCGGAAUGCGUGGUGUAGCGGUGAAAUGCAUAGAUAUCACGCAGAACUCCGAUUGCGAAGGCAGCAUACCGGCGCCCGACUGACGCUGAGGCACGAAAGCGUGGGGAUCGAACAGGAUUAGAUACCCCUGUAGUC
rnacentral:rRNA from 1 species